rnacentral:rRNA from 1 species
CUAGGGAGCGAGCGUUGUCCGGAAUUACUGGGCGUAAAGGGCACGCAGGCGGUCAUAUAAGUCAGCUGUUAAAUGUAUGGGCUUAACCGAUGCAUGCGGUUGAAACUGUAUGACUGGAGUACUGGAGAGGUAAGCGGAAUUCCCGGUGUAGCGGUGAAAUGCGUAGAUAUCGGGAAGAACACCAGUGGCGAAGGCGGCUUACUGGCCAGUUACUGACGCUGAGGUGCGAAAGCCAGGGGAGCGAACCGGAUUAGAUACCCGUGUAGUCC